AAUAGCGAAGUGCUCCUAAAUUCAAUUCAGAAUUGAUCAUAUAAAGAAAAGCAAUGAAAACAAAAAUUAAUGAAUAACCAUAAAAAACUUCAAUUAAUGUUCCUUUAAUGUUCCUACUUCAUGUGGAUUUGAUGGUCUUCUGAUUUUAAAUCAAGAACAGGAAAACCUAUCGCUCCCUCUAGCUCAAUUAUAGGUAUUAUGAAUUUGUAUGGUUUGAAUGAGGCAGUUGAUUCAGCCAUAGUCGGUUCUCUCAAUACUAUUUCUGUCUCCGUUUCUCCAACUUCCAUCAACAGAUGUAAUUCCUUGAAAUUAGCUCUGAUCUCCCUCAAGUUAGCCAGCCAAACACCCCACUUUUGACAAAACCUCUGUCCUUACUAGUGCAAACAUGAAAAAUCCUGCUGAACCCUGCAUAUUUUGCAACUGCACAUUAACUCCCUUAAAUGCCUCUUGAUGACUGAUUUUGAGUCCACCCUUACUUCCACGCAAGUUGGGAGGUUUCUUGAACUGUUGAGCUUAAUUCUCGGACCAGCUUACCAUCUGUAAAGUUAUGAGAUGCUCUCAUUUUCAACCAAAACCCUCACCUUCCUUCCAUUGUUUCUCCUCCACAAAUGUAAAGAACUCAACGUCCAUCUGGCAUUAUAUACAAACAUGCACUGCAGCCUAUGUGCCUCCAUGUGCU
rnacentral:lncRNA from 1 species